rnacentral:rRNA from 1 species
GACGAACGCUGGCGGCGUGCUUAACACAUGCAAGUCGAACGAAGUGGCGAACGGGUGAGUAACGCGUAAUCAACCUGCCCUUCAGCGGGGUACAACAGUUGGACACGACUACUCAUACCGCAUACUGAAGGAGGGGCUUGCGUCUGAUGAGCGAGUUGGAGGGGUAACGGGCAACCAAGGCGAGGAGCAGUAGACGGUGUGAGAGGAGUAACGGCCACAUUGGGAGUGGGACACGGCCCAGACCACUACGGGAGGCAGCAGUGGGGAAUAGUCCGCAAUGGACGAAAGUCUGACGGAGCAACGCCGCGUGAGUGAGGACGGCCUUCGGGUUGUAAAGCUCUGUUAAGCGGGACGCGGUACCGGAAUAGAAAGCCACGGCUAACUACGUGCCAGCAGCCGCGGUAAUUC